rnacentral:misc_RNA from 1 species
GAUGAAGAACGCAGCGAAAUGCGAUACGUAAUGUGAAUUGCAGAAUUCAGUGAAUCAUCGAAUCUUUGAACGCAUAUUGCGCUCUCUGGUAUUCCGGAGAGCAUGCUUGUUUGAGUAUCAGUAAACACCUCAACUCCCUUUUCUUUUUUGAAAUUGGAGCUGGACUUGAGUGAUCCCAACGCUUUCUUCCAAGAAAGUGGCGGGUUGCUUGAAAUGCAGGUGCAGCUGAACUUUUCUCUGAGCUAUAAGCAUAUCUAUUUAGUCUGCCUAAAAAACAGAUUAUUACCUUUGCUGCAGCUAACAUAAAGGAGACUAGUUCUUGUGCUGACUGAUGCAGGAUUCACAGAGACAGCUUCGGCUGACUUUGUAAACUCGAUCUCAAAUCAAGUAAGACUACCCGCUGAACUUAAGAAUAUCAAUAAGCGGAGGA